rnacentral:rRNA from 1 species
UUCUAGAGAUGCUUGCCAAAAAAGUGCAUUCACGAUCCCACCCGAUCUCGGAAGCUAAGCAGGGUCGGGCCUGGUCAGUACUUGGAUGGGAGACCACGUAGGGAGACCAGGUGCUGUAGGCC